AUGACUAUUAGUGCUGCCAGUCCAGGGAGGUGCUUUCUUCUGAGGUGGCUGUAUGCUGCAGAGAUCGGGGUGCAGCUCUCCCCCCACAGCAACAAGGACACCCAUGUAUUUAUCAGACCGUAGAGAGCAUAUCAAUGCAGAGAGAAUGAGAUAUUUCAACCCACGUUCAGCUUCCAAGCAGAGCCUGGCCCUGCACACAGGCUGCCUCCCCUCACAGCACACUUCUCAGCCAGCACACAGCAGCAGCUCGCUCUCUGCUCCAUGAAUGAAAGGCAAGCUUCUUCCUUUCACCCAAGGCUGCCUGUUGAACAGCCUCCCAUCACGAUGCACCAAGCUAUGUGGAAUUUACAUCAGAGCUGUGAGAUUGAUUUUCCUCAUGUCCCUCCCCAACAAUGCUGGCAGGAAGGACGCCAGGCUUCCUGCAUUGCCCACAUGAAACCCACACUUGAUGAUGAUGUUCUCUGCUGCUCACACUGGUGAGCACUGUUCAUGAACCACCCUUGGAUGCAGCCUAAGGUACUCAUCUCCAUUACCAGCUAUACAAACAGGAAUCGAAAUGAGUACAAUUGCAACCCACGCAUGUGAGCUCUGUGGAUGUCAGCAGCAGGAGAGCUCCCCUCCUUCAGACAGCACCAGCAAACCGCUGUGGCACCAUCUGAGGUAUACCCACAGCCCUCCGCUGGUUGCUUUCCCUGCUGUGUUGUUGGUUGGGUUUUUGUGUAGUGCUGAGGUGAGAGGCUGAGGAUGCUCCUGAGAAAGAAAGUGAGCUCCUGGCUGCAGAACUGCAACUGUUCGGGGUCAGUUCCAUCUGUGGGGAAAAAAAAGCAAUUGUCAGACAGGAAGAAGAGGAAGGAUGACAUGCUGCUCUGUGCUCUGUGCUGCUGUUCUGAGCUCUGUGCUGCUGCUCUGUGCUGCAGUUCUGUGCUGGUGCUGAAGUACUGCUCCAUUGUCCUCACAGAUCACUCAGAACGUUGCGUGUGGUACCUUUUCCUACAUUUUCACUGAAUAUAGCUGGUGAGAGAAAGCAAAGGACGCUUCUUUGGGAGGACAGUUGGACAUGUGGGGUGUGACAGGGGUGUCCUUGCUCUCUCUGGGGCCUGGAGCUGUGCGUUGGGCAUUGCAGCACUGGGGGAAGCCUGGAGCAGGUCCUGCAUGGAGCUGUGAGCGGCUUCUAAGGACAAGCACACGCACAUGGGAAUAUGAGCUAUUCACUCAUCAGUUUGCUGCAUCCAACUCAGCCCCCGAGUGACAAGAAUAAAGUACCCUGCAACUGUUCGUCCCUUUUUUAAUGAACUCAUAGCCUCGUUUGUAUGCUAAAUGAGGAAUCAAUACGAUCAGACCACGAAAAAUAUGUAUUCUGUAUAGAUUGGACUCGAAGAUAUUAGCAACCGAAGUGUUACCAUACGUUAUGCCACCAUCUAUAGAGGUAAUGGAAAAUAUUGAUUUCAAAUGCCUUUGCUAAAUAUGAGUGUGCAUUUUAAAACUUACUCAUUCUUGGAAUUUCAUCUCUGCCUUCAGAAACUCUGUGAGGAUUCCUGAACAACUUCUCCAUAGGGCUUUCUCUUCUGGGCCUGGUUAGUGUAGAAGCACCUCGACACCACGAAGAUUUUUUGUCUGCCUGUGGCAGAGAGGCAGGCGGUGUUGCUGGGAUGGCACAUCAUCGAAGCUGAGUGACAGCAAUCAGAACAACCACUGCUUGGCAUAUAUUAAUGAAAAUGUGUUCUGUGUCAGGCUUGUGCAGGGCUUUAUGUCCAAGCAUUAACUUACAUCACAUCCCAACAACAGGAGCUACAAAUCAGUGGACGUUUACAUAACAUGGGCACGCCUGCUUACACAACGUAGGCAUGGCUUUUACUUUGUUACCACUCAUGCAGGAGCACUGCUAUCCCUAACCAUGCUAAGCGUUCACAGCUGAAGCAGUAAUGGAGUCGGCACCGACAGUUCUGUGUGACGUAUGAGAACACUGAAGAAGCGCGGAGCCAGCAGGCAGUGAAGAGCAGCUCUGCCAAAUGCUUCAUGCAGUCACACUAUAAUUUCUGAAAGGCCAUUCCUGAGAGGAUGGAGGCACUGAGGAGAUGAUGGAUUCAUGCAGUGUUGUACAUCCCAUCUCAACGGUUUUUGAAUGAAACGUUUCCACACUUCC
ensembl:lncRNA